rnacentral:rRNA from 1 species
GCUUACGGCCACACCGCCUGGUUCACGCCCGAUCUCGUUUGAUCUCGGAAGCUAAGAUAGGUUGGGCCUGGUUAGUACUUGGAUGGGGAGACCGCCUGGGAAUACCAGGUGCUGUAAGUU